AUCUCCCCCUGCAUAAUACUAUGCACAGGAUGAGAUGUUCUCCACGUGUGGCUGUGAUAAACAUGAGCAGGAGAUCCGUUACAAGUGGUUGGUGUAGAUGUUACAACCAAUUAAAGUGCGACAGAUCAGCCUCCUCACAUGUGGAAAAACUUGAAUUGCGAGACCAAGGGAGGGGUGUUAAGCAAGACUAAGGAGAGGAUUGAUGCGUCUCCAUCUCCUGGUUUAUAUCAGAGAAAGAUGAGGGAGUAAUAUCACAGGAUCACAACUCUUUAAUUUGGUUCCUGAUGAUUUGCAAGGAUUAUUGAGGGUAAAUGGUCCUUGGAAAUCAUCAGAGAAAGGAACAUCGGCUUGGAUGAUAUUGAUAAUGAAUUUAUGACACCACAGGUUGACCUAUUAUGACCCAGAUGGUUGAACCACCGACUUGCCACCCAAAUGAAAAAGCAGUUCUGUUUCCAAAUUGGUUUUAAAUACACUGAUUUCUACAAUCCUUAUCUGUGGAGAUUCUAAGACAAUGUAUAAUUUUAUCCUAGUCCCUUUCGUACAGGUAUUAUUGAAACCUAUAGUCUUUGUAUUGGUUCUUUUUAUCUUUUAUCCCUUUAUGGGCAUUUCUGUAAUUGUACAUAUUAUUUUAAUCUAAUAGAGGCUCUUUGGGGUGGGAGUCGACUAUUCUAUUCGACACCCUGAAACUGUUAGUCUUCCUUCUUGUUUGAACUCUCUUGUUAUCAUGGUACCAGAGCAUCUGAGUUGAUUCAAGACCUGGGACUCGAAAGGGUGAUUCAAAGGGAUUCAGACCUCCAUUCGAAUACACUUUCAAGACCAUUUUGAGGGCUGUUUUGAUCUGCCCCAGAUAACCUGUUUUCUCUGAAAAAGAUGCUUACCAGACACACCCAGAAGGGAGCCUGGAUUGCCCCUGGAAUGGCCAUCAAUGUUUAACAUGAUUCUUCCGGCCACAGUAUGGAACUCUUCUCUUAUCGAGUUGCAGAAAUGGCAAAGCUCCGGAACAAGGAACUAUGAGGCUCUUUGAAGAUGAGAUACUCAUGCACACGAUGAGGUCGGUGG